rnacentral:tRNA from 1 species
GGGGCCGUGGUCAAGCCUGGUUACGACGCCGGCCUGUCAAGCCGGAGAUCGCGGGUUCAAAUCCCGUCGGCCCCGCCA